AGGUGGUGGAACGAGCAAAGAUGAAUGGCUGACACAGCAUCAUUGUGUGCUCUACUAAUAAGUUCCUGAAUUUCCCUUUAGUUGGAGAAUAAGUGCCAGUGAAGCUCUCAAGCACCCCUGGUUGUCAGACCACAAGCUCCACUCCAGACUCAAUGCACAGAAAAAGAACUGCAGCUCUGAUGUGCAGAACCUCGUGACCAAAUAGUCUACCGAAGGCACCCAUUUGAAAGGAAAACUGCUGUGGUUGCUGCUGCUUUGAGAAGACUUUUGAACACUCAGCAGUUCUGA
rnacentral:lncRNA from 1 species